UACUUAUCCAGAAAGACAGAGGGAAAGGCCCUACGACGUCUUAGCAACCUGUACCAGCUUUGCUUGUAAAAGGUGCUAAUUCCUGCUCCGCGAAUGCGGAGAAAGAUAAAAU
rnacentral:ncRNA from 2 species